rnacentral:rRNA from 1 species
AGGGCGGGACACGUGGUAUCCUGUCUGAAUAUGGGGGGACCAUCCUCCAAGGCUAAAUACUCCUGACUGACCGAUAGUGAACCAGUACCGUGAGGGAAAGGCGAAAAGAACCCCGGCGAGGGGAGUGAAAAAGAACCUGAAACCGUGUACGUACAAGCAGUGGGAGCACCCUUUGGGGUGUGACUGCGUACCUUUUGUAUAAUGGGUCAGCGACUUAUAUUCUGUAGCAAGGUUAACCGUAUAGGGGAGCCGGAGGGAAACCGAGUCUUAACCGGGCGUUAAGUUGCAGGGUAUAGACCCGAAACCCGGUGAUCUAGCCAUGGGCAGGUUGAAGGUUGGGUAACACUAACUGGAGGACCGAACCGACUAAUGUUGAAAAAUUAGCGGAUGACCUGUGGCUGGGGGUGAAAGGCCAAUCAAACCGGGAGAUAGCUGGUUCUCCCCGAAAGCUAUUUAGGUAGCGCCUCGUGAAUUCAUCUCCGGGGGUAGAGCACUGUUUCGGCUAGGGGGCCAUCCCGGCUUACCAACCCGAUGCAAACUGCGAAUACCGGAGAAUGUUAUCACGGGAGACACACGGCGGGUGCUAACGUCCGUCGUGAAGAGGGAAACAACCCAGACCGCCAGCUAAGGUCCCAAAGUCAUGGUUAAGUGGGAAACGAUGUGGGAAGGCCCAGACAGCCAGGAUGUUGGCUUAGAAGCAGCCAUCAUUUAAAGAAAGCGUAAUAGCUCACUGGUCGAGUCGGCCUGCGCGGAAGAUGUAACGGGGCUAAACCAUGCACCGAAGCUGCGGCAGCGACGCUGAUGCGUUGUUGGGUAGGGGAGCGUUCUGUAAGCCUGCGAAGGUGGCCUGUGAGGGUUGCUGGAGGUAUCAGAAGUGCGAAUGCUGACAUAAGUAACGAUAAAGCGGGUGAAAAGCCCGCUCGCCGGAAGACCAAGGGUUCCUGUCCAACGUUAAUCGGGGCAGGGUGAGUCGACCCCUAAGGCGAGGCCGAAAGGCGUAGUCGAUGGGAAACGGGUUAAUAUUCCCGUACUUGGUGUUACUGCGAAGGGGGGACGGAGAAGGCUAUGUUGGCCGGGCGACGGUU